CAAUAUGCUGAGAACAUUGAUAAGGUUGGAAUUGCCCAAAGGCCUUGCACCAGGAGCAAAUACUUUGCUCCUAAAGCAGACAUUCAGAUCUGGAAAAUCUGAAAGAGAACAUGGGCAUGAUUCCCUUCAUUUUAAAAAUCAUCUUGAAUCCUGAGGCACAUUUGAAAUGCAAGAUAUGUGAGGUGAAUGGCAGAAAAGAAAAAUACCAGAAGACUGAAUUUCCAAUAAAUCAAAGCAACCGAAUUUCAAUUUACAAUAGUGGAACUCAGGACAUAUUUUUUCCACCAAAACAUCCAACCAAGUAUGAGUGAGUGGCCUGGCCUUAACACAUUGUUUGUUUGUAAGUAUGCUUAUGCAAACAGGUUGUUUAUUAUUAUAUUUUAUCUAGCAUAUUACUUGCUAUUUUCUGUUAUUAUUUUUCCACUACCCUUGUCUUUGGUAUCUUCUCUUCAUCUUUUUUCUGUCAUAUUAUGUUUGCUUAGGGUUCUAUAAGUAUUCCUGCUACUAAUGAUAUGAGUUGUAUGACAGCUAACAGCUCACGUUAUUUACAGUCUUUGCUUUUUAGAAUAAAACAGGAAACCAUCAAGUGCAGUGAUUUACUCAGCUGCAGGAUACAAGGCACUCCAGUCCUAUUAAGGAAGAAUAACUGUUAUGAUUAUUUAAUGAGCUACACAAUGCCUGUUAUUAGCUAUUUAUUGAUGUAUGAAUACUUGGGAUCUACUGCUUCUAGUGCCAGUGAGAACAACUCAUUUUUCAAUCAAACCUAAUUGACAAUGCUAGUAUAUUGAGAAAAAUGUAAUGCUUCUCAUUAGAUUUAUUGGAUGGCACCAUUCUUGCCAAAUCUCAUAUUGACAUGUAAUCUAAAUUAAUGUCAAGGUGAUAGAUUUGUAGUUGUAAGAUCAAGCCUUACCUCUAAUGUUCUAAUCUACA
rnacentral:lncRNA from 10 species